CCUACGGGGGGCAGCAGUGGGGAAUAUUGCACAAUGGGCGCAAGCCUGAUGCAGCCAUGCCGCGUGUGUGAAGAAGGCCUUCGGGUUGUAAAGCACUUUCAGCGGGGAGGAAGGCGGUGAGGUUAAUAACCUCAUCGAUUGACAUUACCCGCAGAAGAAGCACCGGCUAACUCCGUGCCAGCAGCCGCGGUAAUACGGAGGGUGCAAGCGUUAAUCGGAAUUACUGGGCGUAAAGCGCACGCAGGCGGUCUGGCAAGUCGGAUGUGAAAUCCCCGGGCUCAACCUGGGAACUGCAUUCGAAACUGGCAGGCUAGAGUCUUGUAGAGGGGGGUAGAAUUCCAGGUGUAGCGGUGAAAUGCGUAGAGAUCUGGAGGAAUACCGGUGGCGAAGGCGGCCCCCUGGACAAAGACUGACGCUCAGGUGCGAAAGCGUGGGGAGCAAACAGGAUUAGAUACCCCAGUAGUC
rnacentral:rRNA from 1 species